rnacentral:rRNA from 1 species
UUAGAGUUUGAUCCUGGCUCAGGAUGAACGCUAGCGGCAGGCUUAACACAUGCAAGUCGAGGGGCAGCGGGUGUAGCAAUACAUGCCGGCGACCGGCGCAAGGGUGCGUAACGCGUGAGCAAUCUGCCCGUAUCAGGGGGAUAAGCGAUGGAAACGUCGUCUAAUACCGCAUAACACCAAUGAUGGCAUCAUCGAUGGUUGAAAGCUUCGGUGGAUACGGAUGAGCUCGCGAGACAUUAGUUAGUUGGCGGGGUAACGGCCCACCAAGACCGCGAUGUCUAGGGGAACUGAGAGGUUGGUCCCCCACACUGGAACUGAGACACGGUCCAGACUCCUACGGGAGGCAGCAGUGAGGAAUAUUGGACAAUGGCCGGAAGGCUGAUCCAGCCAUGCCGCGUGAAGGAAUAAGGUCCUAUGGAUUGUAAACUUCUUUUGUACGAGAGCAAUAAGUGUCACGAGUGACACGAUGAGAGUAUCGUACGAAUAAGCAUCGGCUAACUCCGUGCCAGCAGCCGCGGUAAUACGGAGGAUGCGAGCGUUAUCCGGAUUUAUUGGGUUUAAAGGGUGCGUAGGCGGGAUUUUAAGUCAGCGGUGAAACGCAAGGGCUCAACCCUUGACCUGCCGUUGAAACUGGAGUUCUUGAAUGCGGAUGCUGUGGGAGGAAUGUGUGGUGUAGCGGUGAAAUGCAUAGAUAUCACACAGAACACCGAUUGCGAAGGCAUCUCACAAAUCCGUGAUUGACGCUGAGGCACGAAAGUGUGGGGAUCAAACAGGAUUAGAUACCCUGGUAGUCCACACUGUAAACGAUGAUAACUCGCUGUCGGCGAUACACAGUCGGUGGCCAAGCGAAAGCGAUAAGUUAUCCACCUGGGGAGUACGACCGCAAGGUUGAAACUCAAAGGAAUUGACGGGGGCCCGCACAAGCGGAGGAACAUGUGGUUUAAUUCGAUGAUACGCGAGGAACCUUACCCGGGCUCGAACUGCAGGCGAACGAUACAGAGAUGUUGAGGCCCUUCGGGGCGCCUGUGGAGGUGCUGCAUGGUUGUCGUCAGCUCGUGCCGUGAGGUGUCGGCUUAAGUGCCAUAACGAGCGCAACCCCUUUCUCCAGUUGCCAUCAGGCGAUGCUGGGCACUCUGGAGACACUGCCACCGUAAGGUGUGAGGAAGGUGGGGAUGACGUCAAAUCAGCACGGCCCUUACGUCCGGGGCUACACACGUGUUACAAUGAGUGGUACAGAGAGUUGGUCGUUUGCAAAUGCGAUCUAAUCAUGAAAGCCAUCCUCAGUUCGGAUUGGGGUCUGCAACCCGACCCCAUGAAGCUGGAUUCGCUAGUAAUCGCGCAUCAGCCAUGGCGCGGUGAAUACGAUGCCGGGCCUUGCACUCACCGCCCGUCAA